rnacentral:rRNA from 1 species
UACGAAGGGUGCAAACGUUGCUCGGAAUUAUUGGGCGUAAAGCGCACGUAGGCGGCUUAGCAAGUCGGAAGUGAAAGCCCUCGGCUCAACCAAGGAAGUGCUUUCGAAACUGCUGAGCUUGAGUACUUAAGAGGAUCGCGGAAUUCUCGGUGUAGAGGUGAAAUUCGUAGAUAUCGGGAGGAACACCAGUGGCGAAGGCGGCGAUCUGGGAAGAUACUGACGCUGAGGUGCGAAAGCGUGGGGAGCGAUCCGG